CUCAAAAGAAUGGUGGAAAAAAAAACAUUUAUCCUAAUGCACCAUGAACAAGAAAAGAGAAUCCAGUCAGAAUCCAACCAACAGCUGCAA